AGAGGCUGGGGAGUAUGUAGGUGUGCAGUUCUAGGCUCAGACUGGCCCCCACCUCGACAGCUCUGCUCUCCCAUUUCCAGGUUGCACUGCCUGUGGCUUUGAUCCCUAAUCCUGGCUUAGCGCUUGCUGCAGCCAGAGCAGGGACUGGCCUGUGGGGGAGCCUCCCUCUGCCAGGCCUGGUGGCUCUGAAACGGUUAACCCUUUGAAGCCUCCGUGUGUUUUUCAACAGUCUGAUGCCAUUAGGGGUCCUGUGGUCGUCUCAUUUGCUGUGGCAUCUUGCGUUCAAAGUACCCUGUUCUUAAGAGUCCUCUAGAGACAGGAAUCUCCUGAGCGCCAGUCUCAGAGCUCCUACUGCUGCCAUCCUCUGGGCCUCCAGGACAGGAAGGGAAACAGCUCUUACCCAGACAAGAUCCUCCUGGCUCUGGAUCUUUGACCCUUGCUCUGUAUCCUUCCUAGGGUGUCUCUGUGUUGGCCUGCUUGGCUGCCUCUCAGCUCACGUCAAACCACCUCAAGGCCCAUUUUCCUGAUAGGCAGAGUGAGCAGAGCUGAGGGAGUGUAAGCCAUGGGCUAGUUCCCGGGCGGGCGGAAGGGAGAUUAUGACCACUCAGAGUGGGAGCUCCUGCGGGUGUAGGGUCCUGAGUAACCCUCCCUAAAGAUACUAGGAAAGGGAGGUUGUGUCCACCCAGUGGAGUGGAGGCAGUUUUAUCAACCCUGCCCUGGGUUGUCUUUCCAAAGAUAGGACAGGAGACAGUUUGAGAAGAUGUUGGCAGGGCUAGAGCCUCUGUGGACUCACUUUCCAGGUGUCUCUGCUCUUUGUGCUGGGGUGGGGUUUGUUCUACAUCUCCUUGCAGCCUUUACCCUUGGCUUAGCAAUGUCUGAUGUUCUCAGUGUCAAGGGGUCAAACAGAUACCUGAUAGAGAAUUGGGGUGCAUGCAUCUGUCCUUGCAUCUGUCCCUGGGUGGGACCUAAGGGGAAGCAGUGUUUGCAAGUCCUUUCUAGCCUAUAACCUGUCUGGAAGAGAACAUCUUAAUUUCUGAUGAGUAAAUAAAGCUAUCUCCAGUA